rnacentral:lncRNA from 1 species
CACUUGAGCAGCGGUCUCCAACCACAGGGCCACAGAGCUGGAGCUGGAUCUACCAUGAACGACUUCUGAAUCCAGGAAGAGAGACUGACUGGGCAACAUGUUAUUCAGAGUCUCCCUCUGUUGUCCAAGGCUGGAGUGUAGUAGUGCUAUCACAGCUGACUGCAGCCUCAACCUUCCAGGCUGAAGCGAUCCUCCCAUCUCAACCUCCCACGUGGCUGAGACUAUAGGUGCUUGCCACUAUGCCCAACUAAUAUUCGGAAUUUUCCUAUACGUGGAUUCCAGAGGGGUGACAGUGAAACUCAGCCUUCCCAGGCCCAGCUCCGUCCUCUUGGCGCCUCUCCAGGGACUCUCCACACCCAGCUAGCUCUCGCCUCACUGCGGCCUCCCCAGUCCAAAGCUCCUGCCUUUCGGCUGCUUCGGCAGGCCCAGUUCCCGCCUGCCAGUGGCCUCUUUAGGCCCAGCUCAUUCCUCACAACGGCCUUUCCAGGCCCCGUUUUUCCCUUCCGGCAGCCUCU